rnacentral:rRNA from 1 species
UUGUCUUUUAAUUGAAGACUGGAACAAAAGAUUAAACAAUUUAAUUAAUAUAUUAAAACUUAAAUUUAUUUUUUAUGUAAAAAAACAUUUAUAAAUUAGGAAGACGACAAGACCCUAUUAAACUUAACUUAAGUUUAACUGGGGCAGUUAAUCAAUUAUUAUUUUAAUAAAAAUAUAAGAAAUAAUGAUCCAAUAAAAUUGAUUAUAUGAUCAAGUUACUAUAGGGAUAACAGCGUAAUAUUAAUCUAAAGAUCUUAUUUAAAUAAAAGAUUACGACCUCGAUGUUGAAUUAAUAACCUAAUUAUCGCAAUAGAUAAACAAAGUAAGGCCGUCGACUUUUAAAAAAUUACA